GACGUAGGAUGCAAGCGUUGUCCGGAAUUAUUGGGCGUAAAGAGUUCGUAGGCGGUUGCCUAAGUCUGAUGUUAAAUACUAGAGCUCAACUCUGGCAUGGCAUUGGAAACUGGGCGGCUAGAGUGCGGUAGAGGUCUCGGGAAUUCCAGGUGUAGCGGUGAAAUGCGUAGAUAUCUGGAGGAACACCGGUGGCGAAAGCGCAAGACUGGGCCGUAACUGACGCUGAGGAACGAAAGCCAGGGGAGCGAAAGGG
rnacentral:rRNA from 1 species